rnacentral:rRNA from 1 species
CAGUAGCCGCGGUAUACGUAGGUCCCGAGCGUUGUCCGGAUUUAUUGGGCGUAAAGCGAGCGCAGGCGGUUAGAUAAGUCUGAAGUUAAAGGCUGUGGCUUAACCAUAGUACGCUUUGGAAACUGUUUAACUUGAGUGCAAGAGGGGAGAGUGGAAUUCCAUGUGUAGCGGUGAAAUGCGUAGAUAUAUGGAGGAACACCGGUGGCGAAAGCGGCUCUCUGGCUUGUAACUGACGCUGAGGCUCGAAAGCGUGGGGAGCAAACAGGAUUAGAUACCCGCGUAGUCCCUGUCUCUUAUACAC